AGCUGCUCUGCCUGUGAAUCAGCACUCUGAGCGCCUCCAGGCUGGGGCUCAUGGUGGAGACAACACGGAGGUGAUGCAGUUCCUGUCUUCCAAGUGCUUCCGGGUGGGGGUGGGGGGGCAAUGAGAGAGAGUGGCCUACGCUCGGGGGAUCGGCACAGAGCCCACUGCCCCGAGGAGGCUGGCAGUGGGCAGAAGAGAAUCCCCAAGCAGAGGGAGCAGAUGGGCCAGGGUUGGGAGGGGGCACAGCCUGCUACCCUGGUCGUGCAGUCGGCGUCGUGGCCCUGCCAGCCCCAGCUGGCUAUGCACAGUCGCAGAUCUUCAGUCUGUCCAUCUGCAGAGCGGAGCUAAUGCUUCGGGCUCCGUCUACCUCACGGAGCUCCUUGGAGACCACAGUGCUGAGGACGCGUCUGAAACAUAGUUGUGUGCUGUGCACAGAGCGGGCACUUGGGGUGAGACAGCUCCCAACACGAAUGUACGAGGGGACCCGGAAGGCCUACAACACUGAUAUUUUCUCAUCAUCUUGCCUAAUUUUCUCCAACAUCAGGUGGAGAGGGGGAAAACUGCACUUUCAGAUGCAAACGUCUCUCUGAAGCACAGAAGCUUUAAACUGCCAGAUGAAGUACAGAAAGUGCUUGACAAUUUCCUUGAGACUUUCAUUCUCUGGGUUUAGAAUAUCACGCGUGAGUGUGUGUGUUGUGUGUGUGUUUUGAAUCCUGCUAUCAUGAGCAGCAGGUAGCAAAAUGUUGAUCUUUAAAGUGUUAGUAAAACAGCAUACAUUUGAAUAUUGGCUUUUUCUGCCAUCUGGACCAGUUGACACUGUUUUUCAUACCAGCUUAUUACAUUUCUUGUACAAACAUACUUUUGGGUGUCUCUGUUGAUUCAUGCUAUAGUUGCUCUGGUAUUUG
rnacentral:lncRNA from 1 species